CUGAGAUUUCAAAAUUAUUCUUAUCUCUGAUUGGGAAACAUUACAAAGAUGUCUAGAAAUGUCUAGGGGUGCGUAAGACAUGGCUCCUAAAUCAGAUUCUGACAAACUGAAGUCACUUACACAGUUAUUACUACAAUACUAAACUAUGUCCUGACAUGGGGUUGCUAAAUGUGUCUCAAUUAAGUCCUCUUGUUUUAAUGGUUCUCUUCACACUACAGAACAAAUUUUACAGUAACCAGCUAAAUCGAACUGAAGUGCACGUAAACAGCCAGCAAGAUCAUCUACAGGAGCUGACAUCACAGAACCAAGAUCUGUGCAGCCAAUUACAACAGAGGAGACAGCAGUUUUCAGCUGUUCAAUACAAGAUUCAGAGCUUCUCCAAACAUACUACGUCAUUUUCUCAAUCCGCACUAAAGCCUUCCACAAUCCACCUCUCCGAAGUACAAUGACACCUAAAAAUGGACAGCUCCCCUAACGUCCUGUCAUCCUGUCUCCAGAAGCAUGCCAUCCAGUGAGAUACUGAAGAUGCUCUAUAAAGAGCACUACCCACAGCUGCAGUGUCUACUAUGAGAGAGUCUUCACAGUCCCAGCUGUUAAACAUGUUGCAACACAUUAAGUGUCAUGAGCAGAGACACACUGUGACAGUUUUGCCAUUAACACUUGAAAGUGAGAGCAAGAUUUCUCAUUCUUACCAAAAAAAAAAAAGGAUGUUAAAUGUCUUAGAUCUAACAUUCAAGUAAACAACACACAGCACUUGUUAGUACUGUCACACUGUAAAAGAAGUUUUAGUCAUGGUCAGUUAUAAAUAUCUUAUUACUGGAUACCUCUACUGGAAAUCCGACUGAUUUUGAACAACAGUGAUUUCAGCUAAAUUAAUCUGUACUUUAACCAGUGUCACUGGAGUUUAGAGCAUUUCAGCCACCAUGUUUUCUCUCUGCUGUUCAAAUGUAUUAAAAUGUUCUAAACUUUAUGUCAAUGUCAGUAAAUUAAUUAAUAGUAAACUACACAUACAUAUAAUGCACUAUUAUGGAAAUAUCAGUACAUUUUUUAAUAGUUUUCACACUGUGUACUAUGGUCAAUGUUGUAGUGAUAACAGGUUUUAUAUACAGGUGCUGGUCAUAUAAUUAGAAUAUCAUCAAAAAGACGCUUCUGACACUGUCUGUUGUUCAAGAGUGGCUUGACACAAGGAAUGCGACAGCUGAAACCCAUGUCUUGCAUACGUCUGUGUGUAGUGGUUCUUGAAGCAUUGACUCCAGCUGCAGUCCACUCUUUGUAAAUCUCCCCCACAUUUUUUAAUUGGGUUUUGUUUCACAAUCCUCUCCAGGGUGCGGUUAUCCCUACUGCUUGUACACUUUUUUCUACCACAUCUUUUCCUUCCCUUCGCCUCUCUAUUAAUGUGCUUGGACACAGAGCUCUGUGAACAGCCAGCCUCUUUUGCAAUGACCUUUUGUGUCUUGCCCUCCUUGUGCAAGGUGUCAAUGGUCGUCUUUUGGACAACUGUCANAAGUAAUAAUAAAAGAUUAUUCCAUAAUUGUAAUCUGGAUUUUUUAAAAUAUUUUCUUUAUAUCUAUAUAUCCAUCUUUAUGUCUCAUAAAUGUCUUUAUGUCCCAUUUUAUUUUUUAAUUCUAAACUAAAAACACGUUAAUCGUAAAAGAGGUGUAUUCAAGCCAUUGUAUGAAUGGGUUGCAUUUUAAUAUAUUUAUGAAAAUUCAAUAACACCCAGCGUUGGCUGAAUGUUAUUCCUGGAAGAAUAAUAGCAGAAAAACACACUAAAAACAAAAUCGUCCCACAUAGACAAGCCAAAAAUCCUAAUGUGAUUUAGAUUACAAUGGGCGUCUACAGUAAUCAGACUACAACAUAACAUGCAGUUCAUAAAACAAUCAUUUAUGUUCUCUUUCAACUGGCAUUCAGAUGCAUGGGGUUAUGUCGCUGCAGGCACUUACAAAAAUUGGGUGAAAUGUUUGUGAGACACGAUCAAACACGGUCGCGUU
ensembl:lncRNA